rnacentral:rRNA from 1 species
UACGGAGGGUGCAAGCGUUGCUCGGAAUUAUUGGGCGUAAAGGGUAGGUAGGUGGUCUUAUUUGUCUGGGGUGAAAGCCUUGGGCUUAACCCAAGAAGUGCCCCAGAAACGGUAAGACUAGAGUCCUGGAGAGGGUCGUGGAAUUCCCGGUGUAGCAGUGAAAUGCGUAGAGAUCAUGAGGAAGACCAGUGGCGAAGGCGGGUCUCUGGACAGUUCCUGACACUGAGGCACGAAGGCCAGGGGAGCAAACGGG